rnacentral:rRNA from 1 species
UACGUAGGGGGCAAGCGUUGUCCGGAAUCAUUGGGCGUAAAGAGCGUGUAGGCGGCCCGAUAAGUCCGCUGUGAAAGUCCAGGGCUCAACCCUGGAAUGCCGGUGGAUACUGUCGGGCUCGAAUCCGGAAGAGGUGAGUGGAAUUCCUGGUGUAGCGGUGAAAUGCGCAGAUAUCAGGAGGAACACCAGCGGCGAAGGCGGCGCUCUGGGCCGGAACUGACGCUGAGGAGCGAAAGCGUGGGGAGCGAACAGG